AGGCAGGGGGCAGGUCUAACACAUGCAGUCGAGCGGUAGCACAGGGAGCUUGCUCUCGGGUGACGAGCGGCGGACGGGUGAGUAAUGUCUGGGAAACUGCCUGAUGGAGGGGGAUAACUACUGGAAACGGUAGCUAAUACCGCAUAACGUCGCAAGACCAAAGAGGGGGACCUUCGGGCCUCUUGCCAUCAGAUGUGCCCAGAUGGGAUUAGCUAGUAGGUGGGGUAACGGCUCACCUAGGCGACGAUCCCUAGCUGGUCUGAGAGGAUGACCAGCCACACUGGAACUGAGACACGGUCCAGACUCCUACGGGAGGCAGCAGUGGGGAAUAUUGCACAAUGGGCGCAAGCCUGAUGCAGCCAUGCCGCGUGUAUGAAGAAGGCCUUCGGGUUGUAAAGUACUUUCAGCGAGGAGGAAGGUGUUGAGGUUAAUAACCUCAGCAAUUGACGUUACUCGCAGAAGAAGCACCGGCUAACUCCGUGCCAGCAGCCGCGGUAAUACGGAGGGUGCAAGCGUUAAUCGGAAUUACUGGGCGUAAAGCGCACGCAGGCGGUCUGUCAAGUCGGAUGUGAAAUCCCCGGGCUCAACCUGGGAACUGCAUUCGAAACUGGCAGGCUAGAGUCUUGUAGAGGGGGGUAGAAUUCCAGGUGUAGCGGUGAAAUGCGUAGAGAUCUGGAGGAAUACCGGUGGCGAAGGCGGCCCCCUGGACAAAGACUGACGCUCAGGUGCGAAAGCGUGGGGAGCAAACAGGGAUUAGAUACCCUGGUAGUGCACGCCGUAAACGAUGUCGACUUGGAGGUUGUGCCCUUGAGGCGUGGCUUCCGGAGCUAACGCGUUAAGUCGACCGCCUGGGGAGUACGGCCGCAAGGUUAAAACUCAAAUGAAUUGACGGGGGCCCGCACAAGCGGUGGAGCAUGUGGUUUAAUUCGAUGCAACGCGAAGAACCUUACCUACUCUUGACAUCCAGAGAACUUAGCAGAGAUGCUUUGGUGCCUUCGGGAACUCUGAGACAGGUGCUGCAUGGCUGUCGUCAGCUCGUGUUGUGAAAUGUUGGGUUAAGUCCCGCAACGAGCGCAACCCUUAUCCUUUGUUGCCAGCGGUCCGGCCGGGAACUCAAAGGAGACUGCCAGUGAUAAACUGGAGGAAGGUGGGGAUGACGUCAAGUCAUCAUGGCCCUUACGAGUAGGGCUACACACGUGCUACAAUGGCGCAUACAAAGAGAAGCGACCUCGCGAGAGCAAGCGGACCUCAUAAAGUGCGUCGUAGUCCGGAUUGGAGUCUGCAACUCGACUCCAUGAAGUCGGAAUCGCUAGUAAUCGUAGAUCAGAAUGCUACGGUGAAUACGUUCCCGGGCCUUGUACACACCGCCCGUCACACCAUGGGAGUGGGUUGCAAAAGAAGUAGGUAGCUUAACCUUCGGGAGGGCGCUACCACCUUUGAUUACCGGUUC
rnacentral:rRNA from 1 species